AGAGUUUGAUCCUGGCUCAGGAUGAACGCUAGCGGCAGGCCUAAUACAUGCAAGUCGAGCGGAGUCAGCAAUGGCUUAGCGGCGAACGGGUGCGUAACGCGUAUGUAACCUGCCCCAGGGAGGGGGACAACAUCGGGAAACUGGUGCUAAUACCCCAUGAUGCAGCGGGCCCGCAUGGGCAUAGUUGUUAAAGGAGUAAUCCGCCUUGGGAGGGGCAUGCGUCCGAUUAGCUAGUUGGCGGGGUAACGGCCCACCAAGGCGACGAUCGGUAACUGGUCUUAGAGGAUGAUCAGUCACACUGGCACUGAGACACGGGCCAGACUCCUACGGGAGGCAGCAGUAGGGAAUAUUGGGCAAUGGGCGAAAGCCUGACCCAGCCAUGCCGCGUGCAGGAAGAAGGUCCAUCGGAUUGUAAACUGCUUUUAUCCGGGAAUAAGGCUUUUGUAACUCAAGAGCUUGAAGGUACCGGGGGAAUAAGGACCGGCUAACUACGUGCCAGCAGCCGCGGUAAUACGUAGGGUCCAAGCGUUGUCCGGAUUUACUGGGUUUAAAGGGUGCGCAGGCGGGCGUGCAAGUCGGUGAUGAAAUGUCAGGGCUCAACCUUGGCGCUGUUGCCGAAACUGCAUGUCUUGAGCGUGGUUGAGGUAUCUGGAACGAGUGGUGUAGCGGUGAAAUGCGUAGAGAUCACUCAGAACACCAAUUGCGAAGGCAGGAUACUGGGCCAUAGCUGACGCUCAGGCACGAAAGCGUGGGGAUCAAACAGGAUUAGAUACCCUGGUAGUCCACGCCCUAAACUAUGAAUACUAAAUUUCGGGGCGUAAGUCUCGGAGUUUGAGCGAAAGCGUUAAGUAUUCCACCUGGGAAGUACGCUCGCAAGGGUGAAACUCAAAGGAAUUGACGGGGGCCCGCACAAGCGGUGGAGCAUGUGGUUUAAUUCGAUGGUACGCGAGGAACCUUACCUGGGCUAGAAUGUGCGUGACCGCCUCAGAGAUGAGGCUUCCCUUCGGGGCACAAAACAAGGUGCUGCAUGGCUGUCGUCAGCUCGUGCCGUGAGGUGUUUGGUUAAGUCCAGCAACGAGCGCAACCCCUGUUGUUAGUUGCCAGCGCGUAAUGGCGGGAACUCUAACAAGACUGCCUUCGUAAGAAGUGAGGAAGGAGGGGACGACGUCAAGUCAUCAUGGCCCUUACGUCCAGGGCUACACACGUGCUACAAUGGCCAGUACAAUGGGAAGCAAUACCGCAAGGUCGAGCAAAUCUCAAAAAGCUGGUCUCAGUUCGGAUUGGAGUCUGCAACUCGACUCCAUGAAGUUGGAAUCGCUAGUAAUCGCGUAUCAGCAAUGACGCGGUGAAUACGUUCCCGGGCCUUGUACACACCGCCCGUCAAGCCAUGGAAGCUGGGAGCGCCUGAAGUCGGGGGAUUAAAUCCCUGCCUAGGGCGAUACUGGUAACUGGGGCUAAGUCGUAACAAGGUA
rnacentral:rRNA from 1 species